rnacentral:lncRNA from 1 species
AUAAUUACCACCCCGUGUCCUUUUUGUCUCCAAGUACAUGUCUCUCUCUUCUUAUUCCCCCUAUAGAAAAAUGCCUCCUCUUAUCUCAUUCGAUCCCCACCAGGUUCCUCAUCCCACACGCAUCAUAUUUCACCCGAUUUGCUGCCAGCGAAGGAAGAUUUUGCCACUUCCAGUAGGAUACUAAUUCCCAGGCUAUCCCUGAUGUACUUGUUCUUAUUUUCUUCGAAUUUCACGUAUUUUGGUGGUGUUGCAGGUUGUCGCGGGAGUGCGUGGUCGCGUUUGACGCAGUCUCAAGGAUGCGGAUCGAGUCUGGCAGCGCGGCCAUGGGGAGGGCAAGCGAAAACGCGGCAUGCUGCUUGGUUUCCCGUGCGAGCUCGUGCCAUAGACAAUGGUUGGUCUGAGGCACGGAACAGCGGGUGGCACCGCGGCUUUUUAGCUACGUCCCAUGAGAUCUAUGAUGAGGUAAUGGCGGCGCCGGACAAAGGUAGCAGUAUGUACAACACCAGCGAGGCCGUUGAUUUGCUUAUAUCCGGUUUCGCUAUUAAGUUACUGAAGCAAGGUAUGUUCCUGUCUGUUUUUGCUAGCCUCGUACAGAUUUUCCAGAAUAUAGUUUCAUUAAAUUAUGAAGUGAAACCUAAUAUUUGUGCUAGCCGAGAAUUGUGAAGUUUUCAAUCUGUUUUGGACUAAGAAAAAUGCUAACAUUCACACCCUUAAUCAUAUACAGGUUGAUGUCAACUACUCUUACUUAUCUUGGUUGAUACAAAUAGACUGCACUACUAUUUAUAUUAUUUGAUAUAAGCUAAGUAAUCCACUAAUUAUGUAGGGCCUUAUUUGGUUCAAAGGAAUAGAAAACAUAUGAAUGAAGAAAAACAUAUGAAUGGAAAAGGAAUAGAGGAGCAAAAUUGAGGAUUAAAAAACAGAGGAAACCCAAAUCAAUAGACGAUCAGUUUGAUGUACUCAAACAGGAGCAGUGUCUCCUAUAAUGUGAACCACCAAUCUACCAAAAUUCCUCUGGAACACUGAUUCCAUUAUAUUUCCUGUGAAAAUCCUUUGAACCAAAUAAGGCCUAGACAUUAUCCUUGUGCUCCUGGUCUUUGCUUUAACAUAUAUCUUGUUCCCUCCAACCCCUUUUUCCUUUGGUUUUAGCAAACAUGUUUUAGUGCAUUCAUCCUUUGAGUCAUUUGGUACGCGACUGUAGAGCACACUCACGCAAUGCUGAUGAUGAUAUUUUGCCUUGAUGCCCAUCUUUGUGUAAUGUAGUCCCAUUACUCUCAUGUGGUUCCUUUUUAAGAGGCACCAGUCCGCAUGAAAAUUUGUUACGUGAAAUUUACUGUUCUGUGACUGCAAAACAAAUAUACUUUUUAAAAUAAGAACACAUUUCUAAAAUAUGAAGUGUGUAUAAUUUAAAUCAAUCAUGUUUUUAUCUGGCAUGUUGUGCUUCUUCGUCAACACAGUGUCCACCUCAUCAUCCAUCUAUUUCUGUGCAACAUGUGUAAGAAAAAUUAGUUAAGGAAUUCUAAAGAUGACACAUUUUACCUUUUUAAUGCACCUUUACUUCCUCGGCUUUAUCAUUCAAGUAGGGCAUCUCAAGUCUAUCAUCAUAGACAAAUGUUCAUUCUACUGCAUUUGUUGUGUGUGCCAAAUUGAGAUUAUUGUCAUUGAUCCUGAAUCAAAAGAUAAGUCUUCUUCCAUAUAAUUGUUAAAUAAUCUUUGUGCUUCUUCCGAUUUCCCAUCCAAUGAGAUGAGAAAGUUAGAUAUAGAUGUAUUAAGAAAUCUUGCAGCCUCCUUGUCAAAUGAAAUCUCAUCAGUUUAGUAAGUUCUUGUAUGUGGCUGGUUUUCAUGAGUUUAGUAAGUUCUUCUAAGGUUUUCCUCCUUUAAAACAUUUGUUCUUGUAGUGUUCCUUGAUUUCUUCCAUCUAUACUGAUCACUUUUGCCAAUAUUUUCCUCUACUGAUUGCCUGCACAUAUAUGAAAUAAAUAAGAAUAUACAAUCUUUAUCAAGUGAGUCAUUAUUAAUGAAUUAAAAAAAUAGUAGUGUUUCAUAUCCAUCAAGAAGUUCUUGUGUUUCUCGUAUAUCCAGAUCUAUAAAUAUGCUUGUGGCACUGGUUGACUUUAGGAACAUACCUAUAUAAUGAAAAAUCUCUCUAUGUAAUUAUCAUAAGAAUACCAUGUAAUAUUUAUGGACUUACCAUUGAUUUUUUUUACUAUACACAGUAGGGAAAUUUCCCACUGCAUUUUUUAUAAGUAAUAAAAGGGUGUCCCAAGGGGAAGGACUUACCAUUGAACUUCUGCAUCGUCGUGGAUGUAAAUGACAGUUUGGCUGCCGAUUACAUCCUUGGUCAAUAAAUAAGCAAACUUUCUCCAGAAUGUUAUUCUGAUUUUAUCAGCCCUAAAGAAUUUGAUCCGAGGAGUUAGUGCUAACUACAUAGGGGAAGUUAAGUUAAAUUUGUGACAUGCAUAUGCAUGUGCACUUACUCUAGCGUUAGAAUUUCAAUCUCGCGAAUAUAUGAAGGUUGUGGGUUCUUCUUUGUUAUUCUUGUUUCCGUGGAUUGUUUUACCCUGUCAAAACAGACAAAUAUGCUUAGUAACUGUUGCUUGAACUAAUAGAAUAAUUUGAAAUUAAAUACAUAAAGAAUAGACCUGCUCAUCCAUUAUUAUCAUCCAUUGUAGGAUUGACCAUCUCUCAACUUCCUGUAUCCCAUAGUGCUUUGUCUUCAAAACGAAUAGGAAAAUAUUUUUCAAUUGAAAUAGUAUCUAUUUAGAUUGUAUAAAAAAUAAGAUUGCUAAAUAAUAAUUAAAAAAUCUGAUGAUUCAGUACAGUUAACAAAUCUGGUGAUGGCGAUUCAGGUUGGGAGUGCAUGCCGUGACUUCGUCGGACAUCGAGUGGGAACAGUUGGGCGUGACUUCUUCAGGCGUCGAGCUUGCUUUGGCAUGAUUUCAUUGGACAUCGAGUGGAGUGGUUGGGCAUGGCUUUCACGUUGCCUGGCAGCCCCGUUGACUCCAAUCUCACUAUGACGCGACUUUGCUAGGCAUCAAGUGUGAUUUGGCGUGAUUUCAUCAGAGAUUGAGUGAAGUUGUUGGGCAUGGCUUUAUCGUUGCCUGGCAGUUCCAUCGGCUUGACAUCGAGUCGUGUGUUUCAUUGUGGGACUGAUUUUCUUCUAGCAUCUUCAAGUCACGGUGAUGACCGUCUAAUUCUUUGGUGUGUGCUUGGGCCGGUUGGACUUCUUUUGUUUAUAUAUGGGUUGAGGUGGCUGGGUUAUCUGGCCAAGACCGUAUGGAAAUCUAAGACUUGUCUUGUUUACAUGUGUCCCUUUUGGAAAUUUCAUUACACGUGCAUUGGUUGCUAUUCUUUUGUACGUUUGCAUGUUGGACUUCUAUUUUUGUUAUCCGUGUUAUUCACCUCAGCGUUGGUUGCCCCGUGACACGCCGUACUACUUUUUUAUUUUCCAUGCCGCUACUUUUACAUGUAAAUAUUACACCUUGCAUUAGUUGACGUGACAUGUUGCACUACUUGUACAUCUAAUAUUUUUACGUAAUGUUUGCAUCUUUUAAUCUCGAAUGUUCAUAUCUAAAAUUAAGGAUCAAGAUAAU